AAAGAGAGAGAGAGAGAGAGAACAUUUCCAUGGCUGCUCUCGGCCAACCAUGGUUGAAUGGAAAAAAAAAAUGUUUCUUGUUUUGAUUAAGUUCCAAGGUGAAUUGCAAGUUCAAGGAGGUGAUAGCAACAUUGGGUAUUGAAUUGAGAAAGAAGAAAUAGUGAAAUUGGAGCAAAUAAGUGUAGAAUUUUCUCCGAUUAAAUUAAGGCUAAAGGGGCGACGAAGCGACCUUGGUUACGGUUAACCUGUAACAGGUACAGAUAGUCGGUUUGGUGACCCUUCAGCAUAGGAUUUCUACUCAGCUGUCUUGGAGAGCUUCGUUGUUCCGGAGCCUAGACUUUUGGUACAGAUCUUAUGGUGUAUAUAUAUAUGUUUACCCAGGGGUACGACGGGGCCCUGUCCCGUCAUAUUUCGCUAUCGAUAUUCUUAGAGGUCUGUAGACAUAUGUGUGGGUUGUGUAUAAGUUCUGUUCAGUUGUGUCUAUACGAUGUGCUAUGGAUAUGUUCGUCUGUAAUGGCAGCCUUGUCGGCUUGCAUAUGAUAUGAUGUUCGUCUGUAGUGGCAGCCUCGUCGGCUUGCGUAUCAUUUUAUGAUUUGAUUAGUUGUGACUCCUCAGGGGACAGUAUAUCUGGAUAUAUAUAUAUACA